GGGGCUAUAGCUCAGCUGGGAGAGCGCCUGCUUUGCACGCAGGAGGUCUGCGGUUCGAUCCCUAGCUCCACCA
rnacentral:tRNA from 1 species